rnacentral:rRNA from 1 species
AACGAACGCUGGCGGCAGGCUUAACACAUGCAAGUCGAACGCAUCCUUCGGGGUGAGUGGCAGACGGGUGAGUAACGCGUGGGAACGUGCCCUUCAGUUCGGGAUAACCCAGGGAAACUUGGGCUAAUACCGGAUACGUGCGAGAGCAGAAAGAUUUAUCGCUGAAGGAUCGGCCCGCGUCUGAUUAGCUAGUUGGUGGGGUAAUGGCCCACCAAGGCGACGAUCAGUAGCUGGUCUGAGAGGAUGAUCAGCCACAUUGGGACUGGGACACGGCCCAAACUCCUACGGGAGGCAGCAGUGGGGAAUAUUGGACAAUGGGCGCAAGCCUGAUCCAGCCAUGCCGCGUGAGUGAUGAAGGCCUUAGGGUUGUAAAGCUCUUUCGUCCGGGACGAUAAUGACGGUACCGGAAGAAGAGGCCCCGGCUAACUUCGUGCCAGCAGCCGCCGUAA